rnacentral:rRNA from 1 species
UACGGAGGGAGCUAGCGUUGUUCGGAAUUACUGGGCGUAAAGCGCGCGUAGGCGGCUUUGUAAGUUAGAGGUGAAAGCCCGGGGCUCAACCCCGGAAUUGCCUUUAAGACUGCAUCGCUUGAAUCCGGGAGAGGUGAGUGGAAUUCCGAGUGUAGAGGCGAAAUUCGUAGAUAUUCGGAAGAACACCAGUGGCGAAGGCGGCUCACUGGACCGGCAUUGACGCUGAGGUGCGAAAGCGUGGGGAGCAAACAGG